rnacentral:rRNA from 1 species
AGAGGCUUCGGCAAUGGGGGAAACCCUGAUCCAGCGACGCCGCGUGGGUGACGAAGGCCUUAGGGUUGUAAAGCCCUUUUCUCGGGGAAGAUGAUGACGGUACCCGAGGAAUAAGCACCGGCUAACUCCGUGCCAGCAGCCGCGGUAAGACGGAGGGUGCUAGCGUUGUUCGGAAUUACUGGGCGUAAAGGGCGCGUAGGCGGCCCGAGAAGGCGGAUGUGAAAGCCCGGGGCUCAACCUCGGAACUGCAUUCGAAACUUUCGGGCUAGAGAACGGAAGAGGAGAGUGGAAUACCCAGUGUAGAGGUGAAAUUCGUAGAUAUUGGGUGGAACACCGGUGGCGAAAGCGGCUCUCUGGUCCGGAUCUGACGCUGAGGCGCGAAAGCGUGGGGAGCAAAC